rnacentral:rRNA from 1 species
AACCUCCGCAAUGUGAGAAAUCGCGACGGGGGGAUCCCAAGUGCCAUUCUUAACGGGAUGGCUUUUCUUAAGUGUAAGAAGCUUUUGGAAUAAGAGCUGGGCAAGACCGGUGCCAGCCGCCGCGGUAACACCGGCAGCUCUAGUGGUAACAAUUUUUAUUGGGCCUAAAGCGUCCGUAGCCGGUUUAAUAAGUCUCUGGUGAAAUCCUGUAGCUUAACUGUGGGAAUUGCUGGAGAUACUAUUAGACUUGAGACCGGGAGAGGUUAGAGGUACUCCCAGGGUAGAGGUGAAAUUCUGUAAUCCUGGGAGGACCGCCUGUUGCGAAGGCGUCUAACUGGAACGGUUCUGACGGUGAGGGACGAAAGUUAGGGGCGCGAACCGGAUUAGAUACCCGGGUAGUCCUAACUGUAAACGAUGCGGACUUGGUGUUGGGGUGGCUUUGAGCUGCUUCAGUGCCGAAGGGAAGCUGUUAAGUCCGCCGCCUGGGAAGUACGGUCGCAAGACUGAAACUUAAAGGAAUU